rnacentral:RNase_P_RNA from 1 species
GGGCCCCGGCUAGCCGCCUACGGGACCCCGGAUUCCGGGGUCCUGAGGAAACUCCGCACUCCCCGCGGCCGCCACGGCCCCGAAAUGGGGCACGGGUAGCCCCCGUGGCUCCGGCACAGAAACGGCACGGCCACCACCGGAUGUCUAUGAGGCGGUGAGGGCCCCCCGGCAACGGGGGGCCAGUAACCCGCCGAGUAUGGUGGUGGAUGCGUUGAAACGGCCGUCCCGUGGGGAGUAAGGCCGCUGUCUCCGGGGAUGAGGUGGCCGCGUGACCUGGAGGUUAAAGGCCGCUUAGUCGAAUGUGGCUGUAGUACUGAAUGCGGGUUAUAGCCGGGGCCC